AACGAACGCUGGCGGCAGGCUUAACACAUGCAAGUCGAGCGCCCCGCAAGGGAAGCGGCAGACGGGUGAGUAACGCGUGGGAAUCUACCCAUCUCUACGGAAUAACGCAUGGAAACGUGUGCUAAUACCGUAUACGUCCUUCGGGAGAAAGAUUUAUCGGAGAUGGAUGAGCCCGCGUUGGAUUAGCUAGUUGGUGGGGUAAAGGCCUACCAAGGCGACGAUCCAUAGCUGGUCUGAGAGGAUGAUCAGCCACACUGGGACUGAGACACGGCCCAGACUCCUACGGGAGGCAGAAGUGGGGAAUAUUGGACAAUGGGCGCAAGCCUGAUCCAGCCAUGCCGCGUGAGUGAUGAAGGCCCUAGGGUUGUAAAGCUCUUCCACCGGUGAAGAUAAUGACGGUAACCGGAGAAGAAGCCCCGGCUAACUUCGUGCCAGCAGCCGCGGUAACAC
rnacentral:rRNA from 1 species